rnacentral:RNase_MRP_RNA from 1 species
CAUGCAGCACUUGGCUUUGCAGGAGGCAGCCGGCGAGGAAGUCAAGGAGAGCGACCUGAUUAGCUGGUACAUGGAGCAG